rnacentral:tRNA from 1 species
GAAACAGUAGUUUAACUGGAAAAACAUUCCAUUCACCGGAAGGUUGCAGGUUCGGGUCCUGUCUGUUUCU